UUUCCGUAGGUGAACCUGCGGAAGGAUCAUUAAUGAAUAUUAGGGCGCCCUCUUCAUCAGAGGGGUCCAACCUUCAUUCUUCUACACUGUGCACUUAAUAAUUGGCGAGGCCCGGACUUUGUUGACCGGGCUGACCCUACCCUCUUAAACUCUACAAGUCUAAGAAUGUAACAAUCAUAUAACAAAAAAAAACUUUCAACAACGGAUCUCUUGGCUCUCGCAUCGAUGAAGAACGCAGC
rnacentral:misc_RNA from 1 species